rnacentral:rRNA from 1 species
CAGGGAAUCUUGGGCAAUGGGCGAAAGCCUGACCCAGCGACGCCGCGUGGGUGAUGAAGGCCUUCGGGUCGUAAAGCCCUUUUCCAAGGGAUGAAAGGUCAUAUCAUGAAUAAGGAUAUGAUCUUGACAGUACCUUGGGAAUAAGCUCCAGCCAACUACGUGCCAGCAGCUGCGGUAAUACGUAGGGAGCGAGCGUUGUCCGGAAUCACUGGGUGUAAAGGGUGUGCAGGCGGUUUAACAAGUCAAAUG